rnacentral:rRNA from 1 species
UACGUAGGGGGCAAGCGUUGUCCGGAUUUAUUGGGCGUAAAGAGCGUGUAGGCGGCCAGGCAGGUCCGGUGUGAAAACUCGAGGCUCAACCUCGAGACGUCGAUGGAAACCAUCUGGCUAGAGUCCGGAAGAGGAGAGUGGAAUUCCUGGUGUAGCGGUGAAAUGCGCAGAUAUCAGGAAGAACACCCGUGGCGAAGGCGGCUCUCUGGGACGGUACUGACGCUGAGAAGCGAAAGCGUGGGGAGCGAACAGG